GACGAACGCUGGCGGCGUGCUUAACACAUGCAAGUCGAACGGAAAGGCCCUGCUUUUGUGGGGUGCUCGAGUGGCGAACGGGUGAGUAACACGUGAGUAACCUGCCCUUGACUUUGGGAUAACUUCAGGAAACUGGGGCUAAUCCCGGAUAGGCGCUCCUGCUGCAUGGUGGGGGUUGGAUAGUUUCGUCGGCUGGGGAUGGACUCGAGGCUUAUCAGCUUGUUGGUGGGGUAGUGGCUUACCAAGGCUCUGCCGGGUAGCCGGCCUGUGAGGGUGACCCGCCACAGUGGGAAUGAGAUGCGGUACAGACUCCUACGGGAGGGAGCAGUGGAGAAUAUUGAACAAUAGGCGGAAGACUGAAACAGCAACCCCCCGUGGGGGAAGCAGGACUUCGGGUAGUAAACCUCUUUCGCCUGUGACGAAGCGUGUGUGAAGGUAAUGGGUAAAGAAGCACCGGCUAACUACGUG
rnacentral:rRNA from 1 species